rnacentral:misc_RNA from 1 species
GGAAGAACAAAAUUAUAUGACCAAACCAAAACUUAAAUACAUUUUAUUGUAUUUUUCAAAAUGACAUAUCACACAAGAACUAACAAAAUAAUUUACCCUUAUUUUUUACUUGAAUUUUAUAUCAAACACGCUUAAUCUUUGAGUAAAAAAAAAAUAAAUCUUAUCUUAGAAAUUUUAAUUAGACUUCUUCUCACUUAACCAUUAUUAAGAUAGUUUUUCCUCCACUCUGUUAUACCUACCAAAUGCGCCAUUAAUCUUAAUACUAAUCCCUUAAAAAAAUCUUAAUACU